GAAAUGUGAUAAGUAAUGUGAAUUGCAGAAUUCAGUGAAUCAUCGAAUCUUUGAACGCACCUUGCGCUCUCUGGUAUUCCGGAGAGCAUGCCUGUUUGAGUGUCAUGAACUCUUCAACCCACCAGUUUCUUGUUAGACUGUGUUGGUGUUUGGUUUCUGAACGUUGCUGGUUCCUCGUGAACGCUAGCUCGUUUAAAAUAUAUUAGCAUCUCAAUUUCGAAACUUGGAUUGACUCAGCGUAAUAGACUAUUCGCUGAGGACACCUUUCAUUAGGUGGCCAUGUUAGAUAACGACCGAUGCUCAUAGCACUCUAUCUAGUCAUUCUUUUAAGAUUAGACCUCAGAUCAGGCAGGAUUACCCGCUGAACUUAA
rnacentral:misc_RNA from 1 species